GCUGGAGCUGAUCGGUUGUGUUCUAGUGUGUAGAGCCUAUGUUGGUAUUACCUGUGCCCGCAAAACAUUUUGGCCAAUAAAAUUGUCAAGCAGAAAGCUAGGAGCGUAAUUUGUCCGAUUUCAUAAUAAUGUUUCAUCGUCAAUAACCAGGAAGUACAGUUCAUGCACACUAAAACUCGACGUGAUGUAUAAUUUCGUAGUCAGCACAUUUGGUAAAGUUUAACAAGAAACUGCUUGUGGAGUGGAGGGGGUGAGAAGCAGACAGCGAUAUGCUACUAUUUGUCCAGAAAACACCAGAGUCCAACACAUCUUUU